rfam:Candidatus Adlerbacteria bacterium RIFOXYC1_FTLL_48_26 rifoxyc1_full_scaffold_190, whole genome shotgun sequence.
GGAGGAGUGGCAGAGUGGUCUAUCGCACCUGUCUUGAAAACAGGAGUGCCGCAAGGUACCGUGAGUUCGAAUCUCACCUCCUCCG